rnacentral:misc_RNA from 1 species
AUUAGGGGGCGCCGACAUUCAAU